rnacentral:ribozyme from 1 species
UUUUUUUUUUUUUCUUUCUUUUUUUUUUUUUUUUUUUUCUUCCC